rnacentral:rRNA from 1 species
UACCUGCAGCUCGAGUGGUAACCGCUAUUAUUGGGCCUAAAGCGUCCGUAGCCGGUUUGGUAAAUAUCUGGGUAAAUCGUGAGGCUUAACUUCACGAAUUUCGGAUAGACUGCCAGACUUGGGAUCGGGGGAGGUCAGAGGUACUCCAGGGGUAGCGGUGAAAUGUUGUAAUCCUUGGAGGACCACCGGUAGCGAAGGCGUCUGACUAGAACGAGUCCGACGGUGAGGGACGAAGCCCUGGGGCGCAAACCGGAUUAGAUACCCGGGUAGUCCAGGGUGUAAACGAUGUGGGCUUUGUAUUGGAGGUCCCACGUGGGCGUCCAGUGCAGAAGAGAAGUUGUUAAGCCCACCGCCUGGGAAGUACGGUCGCGAAGGCUGAAACUUAAAGGAAGUUGGCGGGGGAGCACAGCAACGGGAGGAGCGUGCGGUUU